CAGCAGCCGCGGGAAAACGGAGGGGGCUAGCGUUGUUCGGAAUUACUGGGCGUAAAGCGCACGUAGGCGGCUUUGUAAGUUAGAGGUGAAAGCCCGGAGCUCAACUCCGGAAUUGCCUUUAAGACUGCAGAGCUAGCAGGUGAGAGAGGUGAGUGGAAUUCCGAGUGUAGAGGUGAAAUUCGUAGAUAUUCGGAAGAACACCAGCGGCGAAGGCGGCUCACUGGCUCAUACUGGACGCUGAGGUGCGAAAGCGUGGGGAGCAAACAGGAUUAGAGACCCCGGUAGUCCCUGUCUCUUAUAC
rnacentral:rRNA from 1 species